rnacentral:rRNA from 1 species
UAGGGAAUCUUCCACAAUGGACGCAAGUCUGAUGGAGCAACGCCGCGUGAGUGAAGAAGGUUUUCGGACCGUAAAGCUCUGUUGUUGGUGAAGAAGGAUAGAGGUAGUAACUGGCCUUUAUUUGACGGUAAUCAACCAGAAAGUCACGGCUAACUACGUGCCAGCAGCCGCGGUAAUACGUAGGUGGCAAGCGUUGUCCGGAUUUAUUGGGCGUAAAGCGAGCGCAGGCGGAAGAAUAAGUCUGAUGUGAAAGCCCUCGGCUUAACCGAGGAAUUGCAUC